rnacentral:rRNA from 1 species
AUGCUUAAUUAUUUCCGGAUAGGACAGAGGUGCAAUGUUUACAUCCAUGACAGAAGGUUCUUUAGCACUGAACUCAUCAAAGAUCCUUGGACUCAAGAGGUCACUACCUGGACGUAUAGGCAAGCAAUGUCGGGAGAGACAAAUGGGGGAUGUUUGUCUAUUGAUGCAUUGCAGGUCAGCUACCAGAACUUCUUGCUGCUUAUCCUGGAUGUUUCCGAACAUGCUCCCAAACAUGUUCAAUUUAUCCGCCCUAGGACAGCCACUGCCAUGACACAGCGGGUUACUCGGCAUGCUCGGCGUGUUUACUUUGGUGGACUUACUCCGAUCGCUAAUGAACAGACAGUUGCUCUAUUAUUCAAUCAAGUUACGGCUGCUAUCGGGGGAAAUGCAUUUGGUCUAGGUGGCAUAAUCAUCUGA